UAUGGAAGUAACUAGAAUAUGUAGUGUAGCGGUGAAAUGCUUAGAUAUUACAUGGAAUACCAAUUGCGAAGGCAGGUUACUACGUAUUUAUUGACGCUGAUGAACGAAAGCGUGGGGAGCGAACAGGAUUAGAUACCCUGGUAGUCCACGCCGUAAACGAUGGAUACUAGCUGUUCGGUUUUCGGACUGAGUGGCUAAGCGAAAGUGAUAAGUAUCCCACCUGGGGAGUACGUUCGCAAGAAUGAAACUCAAAGGAAUUGACGGGGGCCCGCACAAGCGGUGGAGCAUGUGGUUUAAUUCGAUGAUACGCGAGGAACCUUACCAGGGCUUAAAUGUAGAUUGACAGAUUUGGAAACAGAUUUUUCUUCGGACAAUUUACAAGGUGCUGCAUGGUUGUCGUCAGCUCGUGCCGUGAGGUGUCAGGUUAAGUCCUAUAACGAGCGCAACCCCUAUUGUUAGUUACCAGCGCGUAGUGGCGGGGACUCUAGCAAGACUGCCGGUGCAAACCGUGAGGAAGGUGGGGAUGACGUCAAAUCAUCACGGCCCUUACGUCCUGGGCUACACACGUGCUACAAUGGCAAGUACAGAAAGCAGCUACCUGGCAACAGGAUGCGAAUCUCCAAAGCUUGUCUCAGUUCGGAUUGGAGUCUGCAACUCGACUCUAUGAAGCUGGAAUCGCUAGUAAUCGGAUAUCAGCCAUGAUCCGGUGAAUACGUUCCCGGGCCUUGUACACACCGCCCGUCAAGCCAUGGAAGCUGGGGGUACCUGAAGUCGGUGACCGCAAGGAGCUGCCUAGGGUAAAACUAGUAACUAGGGCUAAGUCGUAACAAGGUAGCCGUACCGGAAGGUGCGGCUGGAACACCUCCUUUCUAGA
rnacentral:rRNA from 1 species